GAUGAACGCUGGCGGCGUGCCUAAUACAUGCAAGUCGAGCGAACAGACGAGGAGCUUGCUCCUCUGACGCUAGCGGCGGACGGGUGAGUAACACGUGGAUAACCUACCUAUAAGACUGGGAUAACUUCGGGAAACCGGAGCUAAUACCGGAUAAUAUAUUGAACCGCAUGGUUCAAUAGUGAAAGACGGUUUUGCUGUCACUUAUAGAUGGAUCCGCGCCGCAUUAGCUAGUUGGUAAGGUAACGGCUUACCAAGGCAACGAUGCGUAGCCGACCUGAGAGGGUGAUCGGCCACACUGGAACUGAGACACGGUCCAGACUCCUACGGGAGGCAGCAGUAGGGAAUCUUCCGCAAUGGGCGAAAGCCUGACGGAGCAACGCCGCGUGAGUGAUGAAGGUCUUCGGAUCGUAAAACUCUGUUAUUAGGGAAGAACAAAUGUGCAAGUAACUAUGCACGUCUUGACGGUACCUAAUCAGAAAGCCACGGCUAACUACGUG
rnacentral:rRNA from 1 species